CUAAAACUUUAAUGUUAUUUGAAAACAUAAUUUGGCACCAAGUAUUCUUUAGGUUAUAAUCUAAGUUGCUCAUAAAAUGUAAUCUAGGCCUGGAUCAUUUUACUUUGAGGAGAAAACUUAUCACUAAAUAAUAAUGAUCUUAAGUCUGUUCUUUUGCCACUUCCCAGAGCUCUCUCCUAAGGCACUGUGGAAAAGUCAGGAGUAAAUUAGACUCCCACAUCUAGUAACCAAAACACCAUCAUCUCCAGCAUUACCACAGUCAAGUAUGCAGCUCGUCAUAAAUAUUUACACCUUGCAGGGUCCUUUGUGCACAACUCUGAGAGACAAAUGGCAUUUCCAGUAAUAGUUUAUUGAUUUCCAAAUGCACAGGGGCACCAAGUCCGAACAUCCUGGGAUAGCAGUAAAUCUCUCUUACAAAAUAAUUUACAGUAUGAAAAUGAUAUACUGAAACAUUAACCCAAACGUGUAAUUCCCUUGAAAGAUUCAGUGUUCCCUUGUUUAAUGUAAAGGGUGGAAGGGGAAGAUUCCUAAGGAGGGAAUGUGACUGUGCACAGGAAAAUAGGCAGAGGACAAUGGAUUCAUUGGUUCUCCCCAUUCAUGCAGUGUGGCCUGUCACUGUAGAAAGACUGGUCAGGUUUAACCCUCAUUAAGUAUUAAUCUGCUGUCCCCUCAAAGUCAUAUCAAGCCCAGUAUGGGCUCCGUGGCUUUUUUUGCACCAAUGUAUCCAUAAGUGUCUCCACUUAUUUUCAUUUUUCUGCUCUGGCCCUCGUUCUGCUGUUUCUGGUAUGUUCUCAGUUCCAAAUUAUACUAUCUUAUCUUACCAGGCAGGCCUCCAGAAUCAAGAACUGCCUGAGUCUUAUGGUUUCUGGAAUGGGACAGGGUAGGGGGCUUCAUAAGCACUGCUGGAUAAAGGCAAUAAUAAUGAGACUGAAGUCUCCCAUAUGGGCCUUCUUUUUCUCUUAGAGCUGGGCUGGACUCAAUCCAUAAUGAGAUUUUUUUAAACAUAAAAAUCUGAUGUGAUCAGCACACAGUAAACGUGCAGUUAAUUUUCUUAUUGAGAAGCAUGUAUUGCACAGCCAUUAUAUGAAUGUGGAAUUUCAGGAAUGGCAAGAGAAUAUUUUCUACUUGGGGAGAGAGGACUUCCUAGACCCUGCCACAACUACAAGGUCAUGAAUUCUGCAUUUGUGCCCUUAGGUCUAACUGGAGUAGUUAGACUCUCAGGUCACCAAAAUGGCUGGGCAUCCAAGUUUCCCAUCUUAUUAGACAUCCUGGAGGAGGGCUGGAGUGCAAUUUCCUUCAGGGCUGUCACUUUGACUCAGUGCCUUAGGAGCUAAUGACCUUUGCUAGGGAAUUGCUCUUCCUGUAAGCAAGUACCUAAGCCCCAACUAUAUGGUGACACUUGUAAUUAGGGCUGACAGAAAUCUUUGAAGUAGUACGCAAGAUAAUGAAGGGGCUGCUUUGAGUUUUCCUUAGCUCUCAAAUAUUGUGUGUGUGUGUGCGGACAUGUAUGUAUGUAUAUACAUAUACACACAUAUCACACUUGUCCUUUAUAUAUAGGUACACACUCCCCCGACACACACACUAAAACCAGGAAUCAGUAAGAGAGUCCAGAUUCACUGGACUUUGAAUUGCCACAUCCUCACAGAGUACACUGGCGGCUAAGUUUACUAAAAUAUGAAGAUUUCCUUUUCUACAGGAGUGAAGCUGCAGACAUUUUCAAAUAAAGUUGAGUAGAGAGCAGAACACCCUUCACUUUUACUACUGCUGCAAAGUUCUAUAUCUUUGAAGGCCAAGAAACACCUUAUUUAUGGAAGAUGGCAUGAAAAAGGAAAUGUUCUCCUAACUCCUGGGGGUGGGCUCAAGUCAGCAAUGUGUACUUAAAGCAUCUGCUAAAGGGGAGAAAUAAGGCUACCUCAAUGCCAUUUCUGAGCCCUAACUAUAACUGUGAAAUGUCAUUUUGAAGAAGAUUCAUAAAUUGGGAUGGUCAGCACACAGUGGGAAAACCUGAAGUCUUUUUAUCCUUCUGUUUUUAGGUGGACCAUGGUGUGUGGUACAAAGUGCCUGUCCACAGAAUUAGGGGGAGCUGCGUUCAAGAUUUGUCUAUAAAGCAAAUCUGAAACGCUUUCUAAGUAAAAGCAAAAGUGCUUUCCUUGAGGAUCACAGAGAUAUGAUAAGUUACUGAGACAGGUUGGCAAAUAUUUUUAUAUUUCCAUUUAUAUCCACUGCAUAAAUGCUUGAAUUUCCCAAAUACUGAUUCAAAGUAGUAACAUAUGAUCAGAUAUGGAGAACCAAUGAUCUGUCUAUUGCUAAUAUAAGGCUACUAUUUGGAGAUCAAACAAUGAUUAUUGGGGAAAGACAAUACAAGCUUCCAAAUCCUAAAAUCUUUUUAAUCUUCUGAUACUUAAAUUUUUUCGAGAGUGGCCACUGGUCCUUCUUUUAGGGUACUUUUGUUGGAUAUGAUUGGUGGUUGUAAUUAAUGGUAUGCCAAAUUCUCCAGUCUUUGCAGAGAUAGGUAAAGCACCAAAAUUGUCCUAGCCAUUUCUUGGCCAUCAGUUUGAGAGAAAAAUGCUUUUUUUUUUUUUUUUUUAACACCUCAAACUCCCCUCAGCCCCAAUAUCCUGGCAUCUUUAGUGAGUCAGGACAAU
rnacentral:lncRNA from 10 species